rnacentral:rRNA from 1 species
UACGUAGGAGACGAGCGUUGUCCGGAAUUACUGGGCGUAAAGCGCGUGUAGGCGGACAGGCAAGUCUGCUGUGAAAUCCCGAGGCUCAACCUCGGGUCUGCAGUCGAUACGGGCGGACUGGAGUACUGCAGGGGAGACUGGAAUUCCUGGUGUAGCGGUGAAAUGCGCAGAUAUCAGGAGGAACACCGGUGGCGAAGGCGGGUCUCUGGGCAGUAACUGACGCUGAGGAGCGAAAGCGUGGGGAGCGAACAGG